rnacentral:rRNA from 1 species
GAAAGCCGAGACGGCGCGGGAUGGGGUCGCGGCCCAUUAGGUAGACGGCGGGGUAACGGCCCACCGUGCCCGCGAUGGGUAGCCGGACUGAGAGGUCGACCGGCCACAUUGGGACUGAGAUACGGCCCAGACUCCUACGGGAGGCAGCAGUGGGGAAUUUUGCGCAAUGGGGGAAACCCUGACGCAGCAACGCCGCGUGCGGGACGAAGGCCCUCGGGUUGUAAACCGCUUUCAGCAGGGAAGAUCCAAGACGGUACCUGCAGAAGAAGCUCCGGCUAACUACGUGCCAGCAGCCGCGGUAAUACGUAGGGGGCGAGCGUUAUCCGGAUUCAUUGGGCGUAAAGCGCGCGUAGGCGGCCGCCUAAGCGGGACCUCUAACCCCGGGGCUCAACCCCGGGCCGGGUCCCGGACUGGGCGGCUCGAGUGCGGUAGAGGAGAGCGGAAUUCCCGGUGUAGCGGUGGAAUGCGCAGAUAUCGGGAAGAACACCGAUGGCGAAGGCAGCUCUCUGGGCCGUCACUGACGCUGAGGCGCGAAAGCUGGGGGAGCGAACAGGAUUAGAUACCCUGGUAGUCCCAGCCGUAAACGAUGGGCGCUAGGUGUGGGGGGACGAUCCCUCCGUGCC